rnacentral:lncRNA from 1 species
AUAUAUUGAAGGAAUUAUCAAAGUGUACGGGUACCCAAAGAAACAGGAAACUUUUGCUCGUGUGUUGGGAUAUUGUGAGCAAACUGAUAUCCACUCUCCUCACGUUACAGUCUAUGAGUCCUUGCUUUAUUCUGCAUGGCUUCGGUUACCUUCUGAAGUCGAUUCGGCAACCAGGAAGGUUCACAUUCUAAUUGAUAGAGGGCCUAGGGAACUAAGACAAAAUAUUCAGAAUACAAAAGAUGAAGUUCAAUUUAAGCAUAUCAGAUGAUACUGACUUGUAUUCCAACUAAUUGGUUGCAGAUGUUCAUUGAGGAGGUUAUGGAGCUUGUGGAACUAAACUCAUUGAGGGAAGCACUUGUUGGAUUGCCCAGUGAAAAUGGUCUGUCAACAGAGCAGCGCAAGAGACUGACCAUUGCAGUUGAGCUUGUUGCCAACCCAUCUAUAAUAUUCAUGGAUGAGCCAACAUCUGGGCUUGAUGCCAGGGCAGCAGCAAUAGUGAUGAGAACAGUGAGGAACACAGUGGACACAGGAAGAACUGUAGUGUGCACCAUCCACCAGCCAAGCAUAGAUAUAUUUGAUGCCUUUGAUGAGGUGAGAUGUCCUUUUAUAGGAUUAAAAAAAAACAAAUUAUCUACUUUCAUUUCCAAGUUUAAUGAAAGGACUAAGUAUUUCAAUCUCAAAUUGCAGCUACUUCUCUUGAAACGGGGAGGCGAAGAAAUUUACGCAGGCCCAAUAGGUCGCCAUUCUUCCCAUCUGAUCAAGUACUUUGAGGUGAGGCUAACAGGGACAUGAUUCAUACUAUGACGGUUUUAUUUCCUAUACUUUCUCCUCAUAUGGUUUUGGAUCUUAUCAUGUAGGGAAUUAAUGGAGUUAGUAAGAUUAAAGAUGGUUAUAACCCAUCAACUUGGAUGUUAGAGGUGACUUCGGCAGCACAAGAGGUAGCUCUAGGAGUGAACUUCACUGAAGAAUACAAGAACUCAGAACUGUAUAGGUAGGAGGAUCAAACUCUCAAGUCUAUUUCAAAAUUGGUCAUGGUUGGAACACAGCUUAAAGUUUUGAAAUAGGCAAAAUCAAGGGGAAGAAUGACAACAUUCUUGAAGAUCUGCCUUACUUUUGCAGUUUUGAUAUUAACACCCUACUGUGAAUGCAUCAGGAGAAACAAGGCAUUGAUCAAGGAACUGAGUUCACCCCCUCCAGGGUCAAAAGACCUUUACUUCUCAACUCAAUAUUCACAAUCUUUCUUCACACAAUGUUUGGCUUGCCUAUGGAAACAGCACUGGUCAUAUUGGAGAAACCCAGCAUACACUGCCGUGAGAUUGUUCUUCACAACCUUCAUAGCUUUAAUGCUUGGGACAAUAUUCUGGGAUUUUGGCUCCAAAAGGUAAUUUCCAAAUAACUAAUACCUAUGAUGGGAUAGUGAAUAGUUUCUAAUCUCCAGUCCUAAUUUGAUUAUAAUUUUGGGAGUUGUAGGAAAAGGCAACAGGAUCUCUUCAAUGCAAUGGGUUCUAUGUAUGCUGCAGUUAUCUCCAUAGGGAUACAAAAUGCCUCAUCUGUACAGGCAGUUGUAGCCAUUGAGAGAACAGUCUUUUACAGAGAAAGAGCAGCUGGAAUGUAUUCACCUUUCCCAUAUGCCUUUGGACAGGUAAGCAAUAAGAAUAAAAGCCUUCUUUUCCAAACUUUCAGAAUAAGAAAUGGCCCUGACCAAAUCCCCAUUUCUCUGCAGGUUAUGAUUGAGCUCCCACACAUAUUCAUCCAAACCAUCAUCUAUGGACUUAUAGUAUAUGCCAUGGUUGGGUUUGAGUGGACAGUCACUAAAUUCUUCUGGUAUCUUUUCUUCAUGUACUUCACCUUCUUAUACUUCACAUUCUAUGGGAUGAUGGCAGUAGCCAUUACUCCUAACCAACACAUCUCCGGCAUAGUUUCCUCUGCUUUCUAUGGAUUAUGGAACCUCUUCUCGGGAUUCAUCAUUCCGCACACAGUAAGUACAAACGAUUUCUACCCGGGUGAUAUCACAAUUAAUAAGGACUAACCUGUUUCCUCCCAUUUUUUUUCCCUUUGACAGAGGAUUCCAGUGUGGUGGAAAUGGUACUUCUGGUCAUGUCCGGUGUCUUGGACUUUGUAUGGAUUGCUUGUCACACAAUUUGGGGACAUAAAGGAGAGGCUUGAGAGUGGGGAAAGAGUAGAAGAUUUCGUAAGGAGCUACUUUGGGUAUAGAAAUGACUUUGUGGGAGUUGUUGCAGGCAUCGUAGUUGGGAUAACUGUGCUGUUUGGAUUCAUCUUCGCCUACUCAAUCAGGGCUUUUAACUUCCAGAAAAGAUGAGAAUGACCCCAUGCAGAAGAAAUAUAUAUAGACACUUCUGUUUCAUGAAUCCUAGAGAUGUUAAAUUUGAAGACAGGAGCUUCAGUCUAGCUAUAUCCUAUUUAGGUUGCAGAGAUUUGUUCUUCUUUAUUUUGGUUUCUUAUUUUCAUUUGACAAUGAAGCCAAUUUAGUGGAAAAGCAUUAGAUCCAUGUAAUGAUCUUGAUUAGUAUGCAUUGAGUUAGAGUGAAAAGCAUCUAGAAACUGAUGGAAAAUUCCAAGGUUGAAUUCGAUUGUGCAAAAGUAUCACAUCAAUUCAUUUAUGUUUUUCAAACAGUGCCUUAGAGCCCGUUUGAUAAUGAUUUUAAGAAGCGUUUUUAAUUUAAAAGCGUUUUUGAAAGAACAUUAGGUAUUUGACAAAAUUUAGGAAACACUUGUAAAAAUUUGAAAAAACGGUUAGAAUGUGUUUGAUAGUAAUAUUGAUAAAUGUUUCCAACAUUUCUAAUACUUGAAAAAUAAAAAUUUUCAAGUGUUAGAAAUGUUGAAAAACACUUACCAGAAUCAGUGUCAAACGCAUUCUUAUAGUGUUGAAAAAUCACUUAUAGUAUUUCUUAGAGAAACAUUUUAUAGACAAUUCUUUAAAAAAUGCUUCAUAAGAAAACACUUUGACUAAAAACACUUUGAGUAGAAAUACUCUCAAGCAUACUCUUAGUCUCUCAUAUGGUAGUUUUCACACUUACAUUCCAUAAGAAAAACUAAAGAAAUCUAUAUUGAAAGGUAAAUAAGAACAAAGGUCCAAUGAAAUCUAUACACAAAAGCAUAAAAGCCCUCCUAACCUAAUAAAAAGUAUUUAUAUCAUAACCUUAAAAUGACAUUUAACACAUUUUCAUUAGCCACAUAAACCAAAGUAUUCUUUAAAAACCCUCAUUCACUAAAACAAUCUCUAAAAUUAUAAUUUUUUAUUUGAAAAAUGCAAUAGUCUAGGUCAAAUCAAUUUUGUACAUAUCUGAAAUUAAAAUUUUGAUGUGAAACCGAUUUCUCUUGAAAUCUUGAACUCCCAAAUAGGUUUCAAGAUCUCAUAAAUCAAAAUUUUGAUGCCACAUACUGGUUGCUCCUCCACAUGUUAUUCUCAAAUUGAUUUGAAAUCAGAAAACCGAUUUGACACACUACCUUGAUUGAAACAUCUAUCGUUGAAAUUGAUUUUUUUUUUUUAAAUCGAUUUGUUAUGGUCCACACUAAUUUUGCAUUAGUGAUGGUAGUUUUGCGGACUAUCCGAGUAACCCACCCUGCCCCACUCCUAUUGGGAUGGUUAUGCUCAAUGAUAAUCAAGGAUGGGAUGGGUUUGGGAAAUUUUUCAAAACCCGAAUCGGGUUUAAGGCGGGGAUGGGUUUUGUACCACCCCACCCCACUCGCCUUACCAAGUUACAAAUUUAGCAUUCAAAUUUUAUAAAAUAUCAAACAACUUCCUAUUAUAAAUAAUGUCUUUUUUCAUAUUUGCCUCAUACCAGCCAUUGCUCUCCUCUCAUCUCUACAUAUUGCCCAUUUCUACUUCAAGCUUCAGAAAUCCAUCUUCAAGGAUAAAGCCAGGAAGAGCAACAAAAUCAAGAAACAUUCAUGAAGAAACCCUUUUCUCUUCUUCAAAUAUAAGUGGAAUCACAACGAUGAUUGGCUCGAUUGCAAUUGCAACAACUUCGAUAUUCAUUGUCAAAGCCUUCAAAGCCUCCAUUUCAAGCCCUCUUUUCUUUAGAAGGUUUGGGUUUUGAUUUGGUUUUUAACCCUAGUUAUAUUUUAGGGUUUUAUCCAAUUGGAUUGUGUAGAAAUAUUUGAUUUUUAUGGAAAUUUUUUAUGAUUUUUCCUUUUUAAUUUUAGUUUUGGUUUGAUAAUCAACUUUCAUCCCAUAUUAUUCCAAGUGUGAAUCUAUCUCAAGUCUCAAACCCAUUCUUUUUUUUUUUUUUCCAAUAUUUUCUUAAGACCAUUGUGGUCUCUCCAAAUUUUUUUGGUGUUUUUUGCUUUUUAAGAAAAGUGUAUAAGUAUGAAAAUUGUGAAUUUUUUCAUUGAGAAUUUUGUGAAUUGAUGUAAUGUCCUUGGUUUUGGGAAAAUCAUCCUCCUCAUCCAAAUAGAAAUACAUAACUAGGUUGAGAUAUGCGGGAAUGGGUUUAUCAUUUUUUCUAUAAACAAGGAUGGGGACUCAUCAACAUACCCCGGCUCGGGUUUGGGACAAGGAUGGGGAAGGAUUAUAUAAUUGGGAUGGGAAUAAGAUAAGGGGUGCCUCAUCCUAAUCCUGCCUUGUUGCUAUCCUUAUUUUCCAUGCUAUUGUUGAUUUUUCUUGCAUUUUCUUUUCUUAGCACUUUGUAGCUACUACUUAGGUCUCCUCCUAAGCAUACUCAUACCUCCAUUCCAUCACGCAUGCUAGGGUUGUAUCAAACCUCUCACAUCUUCUCCAUUUUCUAACUUUUCACUCAAAAAUUGUAUGUUAUACUUAAAUAUGGCAUUAGUACAAAUCUAAGCCAAAGGUAGUGAUUUGUCUAAGUUCUUCUAUCUAAAACAAAGCCAUUAACAUUUUUAUAAGUUUGAAUUUGGGCAUAAAUCAUCCCUCUCAAUUUUAUCUUUACUAGUCCUUAGAAAAAGUAAAAAAGCAAAAAUGGAGAUAAAACCAUCCAUGCAAGCUUACUAAGAUGAUAUAUUCUCAAUACAAAAGUCAUCCAUAGAUAUAAUAAUUCAAGAGUUAGGAUUAAACACAAUGUAAGUAGCUCAUAAGUAUGUCAAUCUUGUACCUUUACACACAAGCAUGCAUCCAUGUUUAGUACUUACCUAGAAAGCAUCACCCAUACUCUUAGAACAAGAUCUAAUUCCCUAAUGAUGUAUGCUCAUAAACUAUCGUUGACUCAAGUUUAUAUAACGAACAAAGUGUUGAUGGUUUCAAACUAGUUGAUUUUGAGGACCACAAUAUAAAUGCACUCGACCGGUACUCUCUCAGGAUGCUUGCUCAAGCUUACAAAAAUUCAAAUAAAAUCUUCUUGAAAUACCAAAAAAAAUCUGCCUAAUUCUGGUGGAUUCAGGACGAGUACUUGAGUGCUUGAGCGUUGGAUAACAGCAUGAGUGGCUCCACCACUUGAGCAUCCCUUGCUUUUCCAAAAUAUUAAUUUAAGUAUUUUUAAUUCAAUAAAAACAUACUAUUCACUUAACCCUUUAAACAUCUCACUUGUCACAAAUCAAACAUUUUUAAACUUACCUAUAACUUUUCAGUUGAUUGAACAAUAACUUUAAAUCUUCAAUGAAGAGUAAAUUAUUACCUAAAAAGUUUCUUAAACUAAAAAAUAAAUUAAAAUAAAAUUACCAACAAAUAAUGUAGACUUAUUGUCCUAACACUUGAGAAUUUUAAGAAUUACUAUCAUUAUCAUUUGAUUUUGGUUUAAAAAGUUAGAUGUUCUUAAUUCCUACUAGCGCAAAUGAUUACACCCAAAAACUAAUUUUUUACAAUUUGUGAUUAUCUUAAUGUUUUAAUUUAUCUAAGUAUAAAAAUAAAUAAUCAAUCACCUUAAGAAAUGUGCGUUCUACACAAGGUUCGAAAAAUUGGAAUAUUUCGCCGAAAGCAAAAUAUUGGAUAUCGGAGGUGGCUGAAAACGGCCGCCGAUUAUUGGGCUGAUUUUUUGGCGAAAAAAUUCAGAAGCGGCUGCAAGCGCGUGGGAGGAUCUCACGCAAAAAAUUGGCUAUUUUUUAAAAAAUCGCAUAUUUAUCGCGGAUAAAUCACUAUAAAUUGGGCAAUUUUUUUUUAAAAAAAAUCGCUGAUUUUAACUUUUUUUUUUUUUAAAUAUUUAUCCUUUUUAUUUUUUAAUUAUUCAUUUCUAAUUUAUCUUUUAUUUUAAAUUUAUACUAUUAUUUUAUUUUUAGCUACUUUUCAUAUUUAUCUCAUUAAUCAUAUUUUAAAAAAUCAAUAUCACUUUAAAAUAUUAAAAAUAUAAUUUUAUUUAAAAAUUGUUGAAAUAUAAAAGUUUUAAUAUUUUAUAAAUUAAAAUUAAUUUGAUAAGAUAAAUUAUUAAUAUAAUUUUUAAUAAUUUUAAUUAUUUAAAUAAAUUAAUGUUAAUAGAAAAAAUUGUAAACACAAAUUUGUAAUAAGAUUUUAGAAACUAAGGUAGUGUUUGUUUUUUGACUGAAUAGAAAAAUUGAUAUCAAACGGGUUACUUUUAAUUUAAUAGAAAAAGUCAAAUAUUUUGACUUUUUUUAUUCAAGCAAAAAACAAACAUCACCUAAAUCUCAAAUGAAUUAUUUUAUGUAGAUUAAUUUAACUUUUUAUUUAAAAUGUAUUAAUACAUGUUUUAAUAAAAGUUGUUUUUAAUUUUUAAAAUAAAUAAAUAUAAAUAUAUUAAAGAAAUUUAAACUAAUUUUUUUAUAAAAAAAAUUCAUAAAUAUUAUCUUUAAUUAUAUUUAUAUCAAUUUGUGGACCCCGUAUUUCGCUCAUGUGCUUCACUCGAUGGGGAGCUCGUUUUUUAUUUAAAAAUGAUUUUAUUUUUUUAAGAAAAUAACUUGGAGUUGCCACUUAUUUUUGUUUUAUUUUUAAAAGGUAAACAAAAUAAGAAAGAAAACCUUGUUUUUGAAAAGGUGGUUUAUGAAAAAUCGGAUCAGGGCUAGGUUACUUAUUGGGAAGGUACGGUAAAAACCGUAGCACCCCUCUAAGUCCCAAAAAGGGGUCUCUACUAAUAAAAUGAAACAAUCAUGGAAAUUGAUAAGUAGAUCACUAGAUACCGAAUGAAAAAUCAAAACAAAAUGCCCAAAUGAAUAUAAGAGGCAAAGAACGUACCUGAGUUAUGAACGAAUUUAUUUCUUUGGAAGCAAAGGUUAGUGAAUAAACAUAGAAGCAUAUCAUAGAACAGGACAAAUCCAUCACGUAUAACAAUCAAAUCAAUCAAUCAAUCAUAAAAUCACAUAUGUUGGGCCCUCACCAAUGCCCGAUCGAUCUUGUAUGAAUUAAUCGCACAAAUUCCAUUAGUUUGGAAUUAUGAAAAUUGUCUUUGUGCUUAUUGAGAAUCAAGAAGAACCGGAGAUUAUUUGGAAACCAGAGUGGACUUAAAACCGUUUAAGAGAAAAUCGGAUUUUUGAAAUUUGCUUAAAAAUUGGAGUCUCGAGGAUUUGUUUGAAAAUUGGAGUCUUGAGAAUUAAAUUUGAAGAUUGAAAAUUUAGAAACUGAAUUUGAAAGAAAUUGGAAUUGACAAUUAUUUGAGAAGUAGAAACUGUGAAAAUUUUAUUAUAUAAAUUGGAAUCUUUGGAAAUUGUUCGAAUCGAAGGUGGAAUUCUUUUGAAAAUAAACAAAUAAAAUGAGAAUAAUAAUAAUAAUAAUAAUAAAUAAAUAAAUAAAAUAAAUGUGAAAAUUGGUAUUUUGGAAAUUGGAAAUUAAGUUCGGGAAUUAGAAAACUGGAAUUUCAAAAAUUGAGAGUUGAAUUCAGGAAUUGGAAUUUUGAAGGGUUAUUUAGAGAAAGAAUUUUAAAUAAAUGAAUAAGUAAAUAAACAAAUAAACGGAAUAAUAAUAAUAACGAAAAUAAUAAUGAUUAGAUUAAUUGUGAAAAUUGGAAAUUGAAUUUAGAAAUUGGAAAUUAAAUUUGGAAAUUGGAAAUUUGAAGAAUUAUUUAAGCAGAAUUUUAAGUAAAUGAAUAAGUCAAUAAAUAAAUAAACAGAAUAAUAACAAUUACAAAAAUAAUAAUGAUUAGAUAAAUAAUUGUGAAAAUUGGAAUUUUGGAACUUGGAAAUUAAAUUUGGAAAUUUGAAGAAUUAUUUAGAAAUAAAAUUUUAAAUAAAUAAAAUAAUAAUAAUAACGAAAAUAAUAAUUAAAUAAAUGAACGUGAAUAUUGGAAUUUUUUAAAUUGGAAAUUAAAGAAUUUUGAAAAGAUAUGUAAGGAUUAAACAUAAGAGCUCCGGCAGAUUUCUGAAGAGCGACUGAGGUGCCGCUAACGUGGCAAGUCAUGGGAAUGUCGACAUCGCCCAGGAACCUAACCCCCACCAUGACAAUCGGGAUCGAAGGACGGCCUCCGGUGAGGUGGUGCAAGAUGGACGGUGUUUCGGCUUUGCUCUCUUAUUCUAAUCUUUGCUUUCACGUUGUCAAUGGUGUCGGAGCUUGCGACUUCCAAAGUAAAAGUAUUUCCGGUAAGGGUUUUGACGAAGAUCUGCAUCUUGAGACUUUGAGAGAGACGUUCUAAAGCCGCAAAAGAGGGCAAAGAGGGUUUUUCUGAUGGCUUUGAAUAUAUGGAGUCAAUGAAGGAGAGACCAUGGAGAUGGCAGAUGUGGAGACGGGCUCUGGGGAAUGAAGGGUGGAUUAGAUUAAUAUGAGGUGAGUAUCAGGGUUCAAAGUAUCGGACGAGUCGUAUCCGCCUCGACACCUGCCACGACGAGACCAGAUACGGUAUAAUACACGAACUCGACUGGGAAUCAGUUAGACUCGACUGACUUAUUUGAGUUUCUGAGUUAACUCGGUUAGAUUAUAGAGAAUUUUCAAAAUUUUCAUAAAAUUAAAAAAAUAAAUUAAUCAGAGAUUGCCCUUCCAAAAGCAAACACCUAUUCUGAAAUUUUAAACCAUCAAUGAGAAGAUCAAAGAAGAUGAAGAAGAAAAAACCUUAACCGAAGAAACCACCAAAGGAUGAGGGCAUGAUUUAGGAUUUACUUACUUGAUUUUCCUCAAAAUCGAGCAUUACCAGAGGGUGGAGCUUUGGUGUCGACAGUGGUGACUUGUGAAGUGGACUGAAUAUUUCAUUAGCGACGUGGACAAGACAACCCCUCACAAUCAGAUUGCUCCUCCUCCCAUGUUAGGAAUGGUUACAAAUUUGCGAUUGCAAGUGGUGUUGUCUGUUGUGGGUCUUGACAGCAUGGUGGCGUGCGAGGGUGGGAGAUUGGGAGCUUUGUUGUGGGUCUUGACAACAAUGGUGGCGAGGACGGGAGAUUGGGGGCUUAAAUUAAUAAAGUAAAAAAAGUGGCUUUUAUAUGGAUUUACAUGGAGAAUUAAGGCCAAUUUACAUGGAAAAUACCUUUCAUAUAAACACUUUAAUAUGAUUUAAUAAUAACUAAUUAGGAAAAUUAAGUACCUAUGAAAGGUAUAUAUGAGGUUUAAUGAUAAAUUAAAAUAUUUAUAUGGCAAAGUGAUAAUUAAAUCCUCAAUUUUUAAUAUUAUCAUAAAUAACUUUGAGCUAAAUGUGAAAAAAAAAUUGUUUUAUUAAAAUUUUCAGCUUAUUUAAUUAUAACUAUUUUAUUUUUUAAUUUAUAUAAUAUUUUUAUAAUUUUUUGAAAAUUUUAAUUAUCUUAUUUUACGUAUCACUCGAUACCAAACCGAGACACCGAUACCAAUAUGCCUUGUGACCCUCCGAGUCAAUGACCGAUACUGCGACUUUGAACCAUGGUGAGUAUGGCGUGGUUACGGUGGUUGUGAUGUAUGGAGAUUUAGAGAGAGGAAUGGGUACGAGGGACUCGGUGGGUGCUAAAGUGAAAGGAUGAUGGUGGCUAUGUGCAUGGGCCUCCAUGCAGGUGGAGAAUAAUGCAAAUGGGAUGAAGGCGGGUGUGAUGGGUGGUGGGAAUGGAUAGUAUGUAGGGUGAAUGAUGACGGGUUUUGAGGAUGGGCUCGGUUAUGUGGGGGGUGAGGAACUAUUGAGUGCAUGGUUCAAAGUUGCGGUAUCGGUCAUUGACUCGGAGGAUCCCGAGGCAUAUCGGUCUCGGUGUAUCGGUUUGGUAUCGGACGAUACGUAAAAUAAGCUAAUUAGAAAAUUUAAAAAAUUAUAAAAAUAUUAUAUAAAUCAUCAGAAAAAUAUAUACAAUUAAAUAAACUCAAAAAAUUAAUAAAAUAAAAUUGUAUUACAUUUAACAUUAUUUAAAUAGUUAUAAAAGUAUUUGCUCAAAGUUAUUUAUAAUAAUGCUAAUAAAAAUAAAUAUAUCGGUCUCGAAAUCAACUUAAAGUCAACUAUAAUCAAUAUGAUCUUUAGAGGUAAGAUCUAUAGACGGGGGUGCAUAAAUAAUUUUUUUUUUAUCAAUUUAGACUAAUACAUCAACAUAAUUAUUAUUUUAAGCAAUUACUUAAAUUAUUAACCUCCUUCCGAGGUAAUAUUAAUACAUUAUUCUUAUAUGAUUCUUUAAACAAAUUUUAAUUUAAUUUUUUUAUAUAUAAUUAAUUUUAAUUAUAUUUGAUUUUUUUUUAUAUAUAUUUUUAUAAAAAAUCAUGCAUGAAAAUUUUAUUUUUCUUAAUAUAUUUUUGAAGAAAUCAUUUUUUUUCCAUAAGCUUAAAACACCAAAUUUUUAUUUUUUUAUUUUUUUAUAUAGAAAUACAUGGACCAUAUGAAUUGAACUUGGGCUGGCCUAAUCUGGUGGGCUGAACCCGUAAAAAUAUGUCAUGGUGCUGAGCCACAUAGGAUCAAAGACCUAUCUUCUCCUAUCUUCCCUCCACUGAAAGCAGAGAGUGCGAUCUGCAGAGAGUGAAACCGCCAUGGCCAUCUCUCUCUUCUCCUAGCUUGCCCUCCACCGUGGACGCUCACGACGUUGGUUCUGCCGGUGGUGCCAUCAAAUCCUAUUUUCUUCACUGCACAAAGCUCUUCUCUGCUCCCAAACUCGGAAUGAGGGUUGUUUAGCUGGUGUUCAGUCACCGCUGCGGCACCAGCAGCGCACCAAAGAUGAAAAAUCUUCACUCCUGAUUUAUCUAAAAAUGUUGAUUCUUGUUGUGAUGGGUUUCAGAAUCUGUUGAUUUUUUUUUUUUUUUUCCGAGUCCACCGAGUUAACUCGGAAUAUUGGUCGAGUCAUCCAAGUCCAACCGAUUCAAAGCCGAGUUUAGGUAUAAAAUGUAUCUGGUAUCGGACUCCUCGCGGUCGGCGUCGAGGCGGAUAUUACUCGGCCGAUAUUUUGAACCCUGAUUGAGUGCAGAUGAAGGUGAGACUUUUUGGUGGCGAUGCUGAGAACGAAACUUUCAAGAGGAACAACAAGAAAAGAGAACCAAGAACGGGAGUGAGAUGAACCCAUACAUGCCUCAUUUCUUAUAUCAACCAAUCAACUCGAGUGGCCAAAACGAAUUUCAAAGGGGUUUCAAAAAGUAAAAAACAAGACAUGAAUGGCAGUGCCACAUACAAAAACUCAAAACAAAGUUCGAAAAACAGGUUGGAACUCAAGCAUAGUGCAGGUGCAAGUGAGCUCAGAUUCCAUAAAAAUACAUGAAUCCCCAACACGUACACUCAGGCAUCAGAAUGAAAAUCUCCUCAUGCACAGAAAACAUCCUAAAAUGGUAUAAAAAAAUAAAGGAAUCCAGUUUGUAGAGUCUAUACCUGUGUUACCUGUGUUAUUCCCUUUCCCAAAAUCUCCAGCUAUCUUCCAAACGUCCCCCCUUGCUCCCCUUUUCAUAUGUUCCCCCCUCCUCUCCAGCAAAAAAGAAGUCUCCUCUAAUAUCUCUCAAAACCCCUGUUUUUGUCUCCCCCCGCAAGCCACACUACUCGCUCCAUGCUCAGGGAAGAUGUCAUCCUCAACCACCACCAUGGCCAGCCAUGCCAUUUGCCACACGUCCACGCAGCUAGUUUUCCUCUAGAAAGAGGUCCCCCCACUAAAAAAAAAGAUCGAAAUAUUCAACCAUCCCUAGGUCUCAAAACAAAAGAAAGGUCCCCCCUUUAAAGAGUCUACACAAUUACAUUUACAAAAUAAAUUUAAUAUGUAUAUUCUUUCUUAUUUUAUCAUUUUGAGUUAUUUUUAUUCGCUCAUAUUUUUAUUAAAAUAUCCACCGAUAUUUCUCUCAUAUUUUCAAUAUAUUCAUAAAAUCCAAGUAUUCACCUAUAUUUCAAACUUUGGUUCUAAUUAUUUCACAUACAGAAUCUCAAAAAAAAAAAAAAGAAUUCUUACAAAUAUAAAAUCAUGAUUUAAUUGAUUACAAAUUAAAUUUACUAAUUUUGAAAAACCAGUUUCCAAAUCUAAAAAAAUAAAAAUAAAUUAUAAGUGCAAAAAUCAUGGCUUAGUUGACUACAUGGUAAAUUUAUUAAUUUUGUAAAACAAGAACAUAGUUUUUCACCGGUCUCAUAGGCUACAUUAUUUUUAGGGACUUACUCUAACCAACAUCCACACUAUACUUUUACGGCCUUGGCAUAACAUGCUAUAUAUACUUUAGUGGACAACCUUAACUCCUUGGUGAACGGAUGCCAUUAACCAUCAACUCUACUAAAAAAUAUGACAAAAUCUAAGAGUUUGGAGAUAUUUUAAUGAAGGAUUGAUAAUUUAGAACUAUAAGCAUGUAAUGGUUUUGAUGCAAUAACCAUAUUUAUAAAGAAAAAUUCUUAAUGGUUGAAUUGUACUAUCAAACUUUUCAAAACAUAGGUAAGUAUAAUUAUAAAGCAAAAAAAAAAAAAAAAAUGGAAAGUAUAAUUAUAAUUUUUUUUAUAUAUUAAAUAACACAUAUAUUGGUAUUAUAUAUAUAUAUAUAAAUUUAUUUUUUAAAACAAAAUAUUUUAUUUUAUAAAAUAAAUAAUAUUAUAAAUAAAAUAGAUGAGAAAAAAAUAAUAUUAAUUAUACCUCAACUUAUAUCUCAACUUGUGAUCAACAUAUAUUUUAGAAAGGAUAUUAAAAAAGAGCACAAAUAAUAUAUUUCAUCACUUAUUUUAUCUCAUCUUCGUUUGUUUCUUAUUAUAUCUUAUGUUAUCUGGUGCCAAUUCAAAACUUUUUCCAAAAACCACUUGGAGAUCAUAAAAUCCUAUUAGAAGUAGAAAGAGUAAGGUUGCAUCCUUGAAAUAUAGAGUCUGUUUGAUAAUGAUUUUAAGAAACGUCUUUAAUUUUUUUAACACUUGAAAUUUUUUGUCAUUUAAGUAUUAAAAAUUUUAGAAACAUUUUCUAAAAUCCUUCUCGAACGCACUCUUACAUGAGUAUCUCCGUUCUAAUUUUGAAAAGAUAACAUAUGAGAUGAGAUGUCAACAUUGAAUUAACAUCGAAACGGUGAAAACACCAAAGGCUUCCAAAUUGAUUUUGAGCCACAAUCAUAUAUGCAUUCACACUUGUUGUCAAGGUAUCAACAUUUCUGCUAGGAAUGGAUACACAGGCAUGCAGGAGUAUUCAUAAUCAUACCUUUGAUACACCAAAUGUACUCUUCUGUUUGCUCUCCAAGAAAAUGUUCCUUGUUCAAGGAGAAAGUGACCCUUUUGUUUAUAAAAUAGGAUUGGCAUCAGCAGAGCUUUGAACUGGUCAGCUGGAUGAGUACAUCAUCUCACUCAUAAGUUAAUACUUAUUCAAGUUGUACAUGAGGAAUUUAAUUUUCAUAUACAUGAUCAUACGCAAACGUCUCUUGAAUAUUUGUAAUUUGAAAAUUUAAGUAGUUCUUCUAAAUGAUUUUUUUUUUCUUUUGACUUUUGCCUUGCUCCUUCCAAGUCCAUAUUGAAGAGAUCAUCAUCUUAGCCAAGGUUUGACAGCAUGCCCAAGAGUGGUUUUGUUCUUGGAGCUGAGAAAAAACCAUUAUUGUUCUUCUUACUUAGAAUAUAUAUAGCUCUGAAUUAAUUUUCCUUUUAGCUCUUACCAAUUCUGAAUUUGGGUUUGGCUAAAAAGUUUGAAUCAAAUUGAGGGUGGAUGAUAUUCCUCAGUGAACAGGAUUGAUUGUUUUGAAUUUGUAGUUCAAAGUUCACUGCUCAUUCAAAAAUAGCUUCAUUACUCGAUUUUCUCUUAAGUGCACAUCACCUUCAAAAUUUUAGACAUUCUCUCUGUUUCUUUGAAGCUUUACCAUUACAUCACUGUAUUAAAAAAAAAAAUGCUAUAUAUGAAAUGUCUGAUACUAUAUAUAGGCUUUCAAGCAGCAAACUCUUCAAACAGAAAGUCAAUUUUUCUCACAAGUCCUCCACCUGAGAGAAAAGAAAGAGAAAAAUGGAAUCAGAGAGAAUUUUGCUUGCAUUUUCUGUGUGUAUCUGAAUUUUUGAGCUGCACCAGCACUAAAAUUCAUUAACCCAGGAGUCUUUAUUGUGGAAUAGGUUGGUGGCAAUGGAGAGUGGUGACAUUAGCGGAGUAGUUAGUGGACGUAUAAUUGUUUCUAACAUACUGAGGAACAGCUCCGUGGAAGUUUUCUCGAGAUCUUCUCGGGAAGAAGAUGAUGAAGAAGCCCUGAAAUGGGAAACAGGAUCAAAGUUGUAAUUGUCAAAGUCGUAAAAAAUGCUUCAGGCCCACACUGCCACAACCAUUGUGACAAUUGAGGUUUGCCAAUGACUGUUAGUUUGGAAGAAGUGGGGAUGACCACGACUAGGAAAAUGUUGAAUUCCACGUAAUCCAAUUUUAAAGUUAACUUCAAGUUUUAAAAUAUCUGAAUAUAUACUUCAUAUAUCCUCAAUAUAUCAAAUAUCUAUGAAUCUCGACAAUAUCCAUCAAUAUUCGAAAAUUCGGAUAUUUGACCACUAUUUCAUAGAUCGUUUCAACCUAUAUUUCACUUAUAUUUUUGGAUGUUUUAUCAAUAUUUUAUUUUUUCUAUUCUUUGAAUUGUUACAUUUGAUUUAAUUUAUUAUCAAAAAUAUAAACACAUAAUUUUUCCUAAUAUGUUUUUUUAUAUAAUCUAUAUAUUUAUUAAAUAUAAAAAAUAUAAAUGUUAAAAAAAUUAUACAUAUAUUAUUAUUUAAUUGAUAUCAUAGAAUACAUUUAAAUUAAAACGGAUCAUAAUUUUAAUAUUAAAUAUUUUUUAAAAUUAGACAUAUUAUCCAAAUAUUAUUAUAAAAUAAUAUAUAAUACAACUUAAUAAUAAAUGUAUAUUUAUAAAAUUUAUAUUUUUAUUGAUGUAAAUUAUAUAUAUAUAUAUAUAUCAUUUUUUUUAAAAAAAAACCUAUAAAAUGUUUAUUUUUACUUCUUAUAUAAUUUUUUUUUAGAAUUUUUCUUAAUAUUUUCAUAAUUUUCAUUAAUUUUAAACCAAUAUUUUGUGUCAAAAUAUUUGUCAAUAUAUCCGUUAUUACCAAUAUUUUCAUCAUUGAUUAACUCAAUAUCCCACUAUAGAGUCAAUUACAUUCUAGUAUCUUGUAAUAUUAAAACAAAAAGCAAGAACUCGAAUCCAUGACCUACUAGUCAUUUUAUUUGGAUUUCCUAUGAACCGGUAUUCAUAUUAUGAGGUUAAUGUUAUCAACUUCUCAAGAUUACCUUUAUAAUCUUUAAGUCUUGAAUUCUUCUAUUAUGUGAUUAUUUGACAUACUCUAGCUCAUAAAGAGUGCGUGUCAAAUUUUAAUUAAGGAAUUAAUUAUGGCUAUAAAUUUCCUAAUCACAUGUCCUUAUGAUUACCUAAUGGACCGUGUUGUCUUAAAUUCAUAAGAUAUCAUGGUUGUCUAUCUUAAGUACAUCCAUUAUCAUCGGCCUCCAUCAACAGUAACCCAAUCUAUCAACAACUUGCAUGACUUUUGAUUUUAAUUUACAUAUGACUUCUAAUUAUCAAAAUUAAUUUUACAUUAACUUCUAACUACAUAAUAAUUUGUACAUAACAUCUAACAAUUGUGGUAUUAAAUGAGAGUUGAACAAAGUUUUUGGCAUGACCAAAUAAGAUAAUUUGUUUAUAACUUCUAGCUAUAUAUAACAAAAUAAAUGCUAAUAGAAAUAUGUGACAUAUAUUCUAUAGUAAUAAUCUCAAAGUAAGGAUCAAAAAAUUAUCUCAAAGCAAAUCAUGUCAAUAACGUGUUAUAAAACUAAAAACAAACUAAAAAUCUUGUAUAAAGGAGAGUUUAAGAUGACUAGAGAAAGAAUUUCUUUUGAUAUAUAACUAUUUGAAUAUCAAAAUGCCUAUUUAAAGGUUUACAAAAUCACAUUAAUUGAUACUUCCUAAUUCAAUUUUAAAUAAAUGGAACAAUAAAUAUAAUAAUUGUGACAAAUGGAUGAGAGGGGUAGGUGUUAACCAAACUACGCCCACACCCAAGUAUAAAAUAAAGAAGAAAAAAAAUUAACGUGGUUCAACGAUCAAUGUGAUCUCUAGCGAAGCGCAACUCCCGCAAGCUAAUCAGGUGGCUUGACCCCAGACAUUCUGAGCAAAGCACAAUAAAAUUGACUUAGACUUCAUAAUCCAAUAAUAGGGUGGUGAAGGUGAUGGUCAUCCAUCGUAACAUUGAAUGCAUUAAUAAAUACAUUUACAAUGGAUAUUAUAUUUUAUGGACGAAAACUACAUUACCCAACUUCAUGUGAUAUGGGCCAAACAAUAACCAAUUAGGAAAAUUCAACAUUAUGAAUUCUUUGUUUCAUUUUUCAUUUUUGGUAGCCAAGCAAGCAAAACUUAGAUUCAUACCUUAUCCAAACAUGUUAUGGUAAAACCCAAAAAAGUAAAUGAUAAACACUACUAAGUGAAGCUUAAUGAUAAAUUAUUUCUUUCUUUAGCUUCUUUCCCAAGUAAAUAGACAGGAAAAUGAGGGGAAAGACAAGUUGAGUGAAGCUGAACUGGCACAAAAGUAGGCCGACGUCUUCUUCAGUAUAUUGAAUUAGAGUAACACAAAUCAAACAAGGGUUUGGUAUAUUAUUUGGCCUAUCGAAACUGUUAUAUGGCAACAUCAAAUUGUCAAAACAAACUCCUUUCCUAAGAAAUUGAAUUGAGCUGUGGCUGCCGUCAGCUGAAAUCUCUCUUAACCUAUGUAUUCUUUUGUUUGCUCUCCAAGAAAAUGCAUCUUGUUCAAGGAGAAAGUGACAUUUUUGUUUAUAGAAUAGGAUUGGCAUCAGCAGAGCUUUGAACUGGUCAGAUAGAUGAGGAAUUUGUCUUGCUCCUUCCAGGUCCAUAUUGAAGAGAUCAUCAGCUUAGCCAAGGUUUGACUUCAUUCCCAAGUGUGGUUUUAUUCUUGGAGUUGGGAAAAAAACCACCAUUGUUCUUCUUACUUAGAAUAUAUAUAUAUAGCUGUGGAUCCCGCAUUUCGGCUCAAUGCGUUUCCCACUCGAUGGCGAGUUCGAUUUUUAUUUGAAAAAUUGAUUUUUAAUUUGAUUAAGAAAAAUGACUUGGAGUCGCCACUUAUUUUUAUUUUAUUUUUUAAAGGGUAAACAAAAUAAGAAAGAAAAACCCUAAGUGUGACUCCUUGUUUUGGGAAAGGUGGUCUGUGAAAAACCGGAUCGAGUUCGGGGGUCAGGUUACUUAUCGGGAAGGUACAGUAAAGACCGUAGCACCCCUCUAAGCCCCUAAAGUCGGGUCUCUACUAAUAAAAUGAAGCAAUCAUGACAAUUGAUGAGGAAAACAAUGAAUACCCGGAACUAUCAUGCACAUAGGAGAAUCAAAACAUGUAUAUGGAAAUACCGGAAUGGGAAUAGAUACGUACUUGGGUGACGAGCCACAAUGCGCUUAUCAAAAAGUGAGGUUAGUACACAAUUAACGAAUACAAAUUAUAGCUCAUGCAUAUCGGAGUGCAAAAUGAAAAUCAAGCAAAAUAUAUUAAGCACAACAGUUGACAGUCAAUAAGGAUCAAACAUGGGGCCCUCACCAAAGCCCAAUUUAUUGUUCAUGAACUAGUCCCCCAAAUUUCGUGUUUUAGAAUUAUGAAGAAUUCAUUAUUACUUAUGUAAAAUCAAAGAUAUCCGAAGAUUAUUUAGGAACCGAAAUAGAAUUAAAAUUAUUCGAGUGAAGAUUGGAUUCUUGGAAUUUGUUUGAAUAUCGGGAUUUUGGGAAUUAAAUUUAAGAGUUGGAAUUUUGAAUAUUAAAUUAGAANNNNNNNNNNNNNNNNNNNNNNNNNNNNNNNNNNNNNNNNNNNNNNNNNNNNNNNNNNNNNNNNNNNNNNNNNNNNNNNNNNNNNNNNNNNNNNNNNNNNNNNNNNNNNNNNNNNNNNNNNNNNNNNNNNNNNNNNNNNNNNNNNNNNNNNNNNNNNNNNNNNNGUGGUGCAAUUCGGCAUAUGAGCACUUCCUAAUGUUCGGUCACCUUUGGUGAGGACAUUCAGAGAAGCUCCAAUACCAACAUCGACCAUAACAUCAGUGGGAGUUGCAAGCAAUGACACCAUACUAACAAUCCGAAUAUUCUUCAAAUAUGAUUUUCAUUUCAUGGAUUACGGAAGACACAAAAUCCACAGGAAGGUCAUAAAGAACCUGCUCAAAGUUAUUGACGCCUUCUCAGUGCCUUUAACUUGUUGGCUUUCAACUUGUCCAAUAGGAAACGUGGCAAUAUCCCAAAGAUUCUGACGUAGAGACCCCCCUCAAAGAACACCCCAAUCCAGACAGCCAAACUCAAACGAGAUGCCCAACACUCAAAGAAAGAAAGAGAACAGAAACAGAGGAAAAUAUAAUGAAGAAACAGAGCAUGCGGGAGAGAGGAUGAUGCCUUUAACUCCAAAACCUAUUUUAAUGAAGAUUAAGAAGCUUUCAAAAGAAGCUAGUGGGGGAUCCUAACACAUGAAUAAGUAGCGCAACCAUCAUACGGUACACUUAGAAGAAGAACAGAGACUCGACAAGUAACCAUGAAAAGUGAGUUUAACAUCUUAGAUGAUCAAAGCAGGUAUUCGGAUAUCAGCAAAAAAAUAUAGCAAAACGGUAAUAAUGGAGAGACUUAAGACGUAAGAAUGCUAAACCUGCGUGAAUCCUCUCAAGCAGAAAUUUUUUUCCCGAGUAAAAGAGUCCUUCCCCCUUUUUCAUCUGUCUCCCCCCUCCUCCAGCUCUCACUCUCCUUUUUCUUCCUUCUGUUUUGUGUCUUCCUCAGCAAGCCACUGCUUGCUUCCUGCCACACGUCCCAUCUGGUCGCUACCCACCAUCCCCUCCAGCCGCCUGAGAGCAGCCCACUUGAGAGCCGUCCCAAAAACAGCAAAGAAAUAAUAAAAGAAAAGCCCCCCCGCCCCCCUCCUAGCUCCUCGGGGGGUCUACAAUAGCUCUGAAUUUUCCUUUUAGCUCUUACUAAUUUGGGUUUGGCUAAGAAGUUUGAAUCAAAUUGAGGGUAAAUGAUAUUCCAGGAUGAACUGAAUUGAUUGUUUCGGAUUUGUAGUUCAAAGUCCACUGCCCAUUCAAAAAUAGCUUCAGUACUCAAUUUUCUCUUCUGUACACAUCACCUUCAAUAUUUUAGACAUUCUCUGUGUUUCUUUCAUCACUGGAUUAUAAAAAAAGAAAACUAUUUAUGAAAUGUUUACUACUAUAUAUAUAGGCCUAUCUAGCUGCAAACUCCUCAAACACAGAGUUAAUUUUUCUCACAAGUCCUCCACCUGAGGAACAGAAAGGAAAAAUGGAAUCAGAGAGAAUUUUUGAGAGAGAAGAUAUUCAUAUUUGAGUGAUUUGAGUUCCAUCAGCACUAGAAUUCAUUAACCAAACAGUCUGUACUGUGGAAUAGGUUGGUGCCAAUGGAGAGUAGUGAUAUUAGCAGAGUAACUAGUGUACGUAUUACUGCUUCUAACAUACUCAGGAACAGCUCUGUGGAAGUUUUCUCGAGGUCGUCUCGGGAAGAAGAUGAUGAAGAAGCCCUGAAAUGGGCUGCUCUCGAGAAACUGCCUACAUUCCUUCGUAUACAGAGAGGCAUCCUCACUGAAGAAAAGGGCCAGGCAAGGGAAAUUGAUAUAAAGAGCCUUGGGUUGCGAGAGAGGAAGAAUCUGAUCCAGCGGCUUGUGAAGAUCGAUGGGCAUGAUAACGAGAAGUUCUUGUUGAAGCUCAAGGAGCGGAUUGAUCGGUAAUUUUCAUCAAAAUAAUAAUUUUCAAAUCUUUUUAGUUCUCAGAUAAUCAUAUUGUUUCAAAUUCUUGAGUAUUGUGUCUAUGUUGUCAGUCCCCUGUUUUAGAGUUGUAUGAAUUAGAAAAUUUUAAUCCUUGGUAUGCUUGUUUUUGCUUUUUCAAACAGAGUUGGACUUGAUAGUCCAACGGUUGAAGUUCGAUUCGAGCACUUAACAGUUGAUGCAGAGGCUUAUGUUGGAAGCAGAGCAUUACCCACUAUAUUCAACAUCUCAGCAAAUAUUUUGGAGGUAGUUCAUCUUCCAGACCAUACAGAUUUAUGUAUAUAAUUCUUAUGCUUUCCACCUUUUUAUUUGCAAAUCAGACUCACCAAAGAUAAUUUCUUUCUGAAGGGGUUCUUGAAUUAUCUUCACAUUCUUCCUAGUAGAAAGAAACCCUUCUCAAUCCUCCAUGAUGUUAGUGGAAUCAUCAAACCUCGCAGGUGAGAAUCAUGGAAUAAAUCAGAAUUGUUCAUUAUUGACACUCCAACCAGUACAUUUUUCAUAGGUUUGAUCCCGUUUUCGUAGAAUGGCUUUGCUUCUAGGACCUCCAAGCUCUGGGAAGACUACACUGUUAUUAGCUUUGGCAGGAAGACUUGGUUCAGAUCUGAAAGUAAGAAGAACUCAUUCCAAUCUCUACUAAUUUUUGGGAACUUUUUCAGUCUGUGACAAGAUAUUGAUACUUAUGAGAUUUCAGGUUUCGGGCCGAGUUACCUACAAUGGCCAUGGAAUGGAUGAGUUUGUUCCACAGAGGACUUCAGCUUAUACAAGUCAAUAUGAUCUUCAUGCUGGAGAAAUGACAGUGCGAGAAACAUUGGAUUUUUCAGCUAGAUGUCAGGGGGGUGGAGGCCUUUCCGGUCAGUUUCAAUGCCAUGAAGUUUUACUUAUUGUGCUCGGUUGAAAGAAUUCCAGUGGAUGGGAAUGAAUUUGUUUCAAAUUUGGAUAUUUUGCAGAUAUGUUAGCAGAAUUAUCAAGAAGAGAGAAGGCUGCAAACAUUAAGCCUGAUCCUGAUAUUGAUAUCUACAUGAAGGUGCUGAGAAAACACAGCUAGAACUAAAAUUUUAAUCAUCAUCAUAUUUUCUUUUUGAUAUUUUCUUGCCUGCAAUCCUUAAUAAUUGGUGUAGGGAAUAUGUUUUCAUCCAUAGGCUGCAGCACUAGAAGGGCAGAAGACCAGUGUAGUCACAGAAUAUAUGCUCAAGGUACCAAUUUUGAAUACAUGCAGAAUACUGAAAAUGUUUUCAAAGAUGACAAAAAUCUGAAAAUUUUCUGUUUCUGUUUUGAAAACUUAGAAGAUUCUAGGACUUGAAAUCUGCGCUGAUACAUUGGUGGGGGAUGUAAUGAAACGAGGCAUAUCCGGCGGACAAAAAAAGCGACUCACAACAGGUGAUAAGCAUAAAACAUCUUAUUUAUUCCAACGGAAGUGACACACCAUAUCUUUGCGUCUUUUCAACUGAAUCCCAAAUUUUUCUAGACAUUUUACCUAUGAUCAGUGAAUUUGAAUCUGAAAAAAAGCUAAAACAAGGAGCUACAUUUGCUUGAUACAGGGGAGAUACUGGUUGGACCAGCCAGAGCACUUUUCAUGGAUGAGAUAUCAACUGGUUUGGAUAGUUCAACAGCUUUUCAGAUUGUAAAUUCACUCAGGCAGUCCAUCCAUAUGCUUAAUGGAACUGCUCUUAUCUCUCUCCUCCAACCAGCACCAGAAACAUACAACCUAUUUGAUGAUAUAAUUCUCCUCUCUGAUGGAAAAAUUGUGUAUCAAGGUCCCUGUGAAAAUGUGCUCGAGUUCUUUGGAUACAUGGGCUUCAAAUGUCCAGAAAGGAAAGGAGUGGCUGACUUCUUACAAGAAGUAAUUCUAAUACUCGAAUCACAUUUUCUUCUCAUAUCCAUUCCUGAUCUUUAAAGCUCAAUGGGCUUACCAUUUUCUUUUGGCAUUGCACCAUAGGUGACAUCAAGGAAGGAUCAAGAGCAGUACUGGGCGCGUAAGGACGAGCCUUAUAGCUAUGUUACUGUCAAGGAAUUCGCUGAAGCCUUUCAAUCAUUUCAUAUUGGUCAGAAACUAGGUGAUGAGCUUGCUGUGCCAUUCGAUAAGACCAAAGGCCACCCUGCUGCUUUGACAACCAAAAAAUAUGGUAUUAGCAAGAGAGAACUGUUGAGAGCUUGCACAUCCAGGGAAUUCUUGAUUAUGAAGAGGAAUUCAUUUGUCUAUAUUUUCAAAAUGAUCCAAGUAAGUAGAAUUGAUGCACUAAACUUUCAGUUCUGACGAUUUAAAUGAACUGUGAAAAUUCAGAAUCAUUUUGAGAACUGUAAUUCUUUUUUUUCUUCGUUUUCAGCUUAUUAUUGUGGCUUUUAUAAGCAUGACAUUGUUUCUCCGAACUGAGAUGUCGCGAAAUACAGUAGAAGAUGGGGGGAUUUUCAUGGGUGCCCUUUUCUUUGCAGUCUUGAGGAUUAUGUUCAAUGGAUUAACAGAGCUUCCCAUGACCAUCUUCCAACUUCCAGUCUUUUACAAGCAAAGGGGCCUUCUCUUCUUUCCCUCCUGGGCAUACUCUCUAUCUAAAUGGAUCCUCAAGAUGCCAAUCGCAUUUGCUGAAGUUGGCGCCUGGGUGAUCAUGACUUAUUAUGUCAUAGGCUUUGAUCCAAACAUAGAAAGGUAACCCCCCAAAAUGGGAAAUCAGAAUCCAACUUGUUUAAAAAAUUUAGUAUCCUGACUUAUUCAAAGUUCUAAAUGGCAGGUUCUUCAAGCAAUAUUUGCUACUGCUAUGCAUUCACCAGAUGGCUUCAGGACUUCUUCGGUUGAUGGCGGCAUUGGGAAGGAACAUCAUAGUUGCAAGCACAUUUGGCUCAUUUCCAUUACUUCUAGUAGUGGUUUUGGGUGGAUUUGUCUUGUCAAAAGGUGUAAACAGAAGGAAAAUUGGAGUUCAAUUCAAAUAACAGUUUUUUUUUUCUUUCUUCAUGGCAAUAUAACUUGUACUCACAUGUGAAAAUCAAUUUUCUUCCCUCUCAGAUGAUGUGAAGCCAUGGUGGGAAUGGGGUUAUUGGGUCUCACCUUUGAUGUAUGGGCAGAAUGCCAUAAGUGUGAAUGAAUUCCUUGGGAACAGCUGGAGACAUGUAAGCUUCAAUUUCAUGAUGAACAAGGGAAAAUUGUUCUGAUCAUUAUCUGCUAAAACUUCAUUCAAUUUUUUAUGUUACAGGUUCCGGCUAACUCAACAGAAUCAUUAGGAGUACUAGUCUUGAAAGCUCGUGGGGCUUUCACAGAACCACACUGGUAUUGGCAUUUGGGAAGCCUCAACCAAUUCUAUCCAAGGAGACCUUAACUGAGAAACAAGCUAACAGAACAGGAGAGUUGAAUGAGCUGUCACCAGGUGGGAAGAGCUCUGCUGGUUGGUCAUUAACGUCACAUUUAUAUGUUUAUGCCCAUAACAUAUACAAUUUGAUAAACAAUACAGAAACGGGAGCAAGAAUUCAAAGUGGAUCAUCCAGGUCAUUGUCUGCAAGAGUGUUAUAUUUAUAUAAAUAUAUAUAUAUAUUGUUGGUUAAAAAAUAAAGUGUAAGAAGAGUUACACUUUUGAAAAUAACUUUUGGAAAAUUAAGUGUAAGAGAGUUACACAUUUGAGAUUAAAUCAUGUUUAAUGUGUGAAUUAAACAUAUGAUUUAAUUUUGAAUGUUACAAAGAUGAAGAGGUUGAGGAAGACAAUGAGUCUUCUCAUCUUUGUAACUUUAUAAACUUAAGAGGUUAAGUGUAAGAGAGUUACACAUUUGAGAUUAAAUCAUGUUUAAUGUGUGAAUUAAACAUAUGAUUUAAUUUUGAAUGUUACAAAGAUGAAGAGAUUGAGGAAGACAAUGAGUUUUUUCUCAUCCUUGUAACCUUUUUUCAACCCUAAGAGUGAUAUAUAUAUGACUUUUCUUCUUUUUGAAAUCUCAUGCAGAAAAGUGAAAAGGCUUGAUCAAUCCCAAGACUAUUUCCAUUUAGUUCCCAAAAGAUUUCUAGAGGUGGGAGGAAAUAGAGUCUUUGGACAAAGUUCCAAGAACUUGUUUGAGCCUUUCUUGUGUUAUUCUUCUUCUUGUUCUUAUUUUGUAUCUAAGAGAGUUUUAUUGUAUCAAAGUGAGUGUGUGAGAGUGUUUCCUUUCUCCAUUGUAUCCAAAUUUUUUCAACAAUCAAAGACUCUAUUCUCAAUGGAGGGAGAGACUAUCAAGAUUAUGAACCAAGACCUUGUGAGGUUGGAUCGUUUUGAUGGUUCCAACUUCACUAGGUGGCAAGACAAGGUGAGAUUCCUUCUCACAGCACUCAAGAUUUUCUACAUCCUUGAUCCUACCUUGGCACCAUUACCAGAACCAAAGGAAAAUGACACACCUCAAGUGGUGGCGGCAAGGAAGAAGAGGGAGGAGGAUGAGCUCAUAUGUAGGGGUCAUAUUUUGAACGCCUUAUCUGAUAGGCUAUAUGAUCUCUACACCAACACCAAUUCCGCGAGGGAGAUUUGGGAGGCUCUUGAAAACAAGUACAAAGCCGAGGAAGAAGGUACCAAAAAGUUUCUUAUUUCUCAAUACAUAGAUUUCAAAUUUUUUGAUGAAAAGCCUCUCUUACCACAAAUUCAUGAGUUGCAAGUAAUUGUGAAUAAGUUGAAAGUUCUCAAAAUUGAACUUCCGGAGGCCUUCCAAGUUGGUGCUAUUGUGGCUAAAUUACCAUCAAGUUGGAAAGGUUACCGGAAGAGGAUUCUCCACAAGAGUGAAGAUUACUCCUUGGAAGAGAUUCAAAAACAUCUUCGCAUUAAGGAAGAAUCGAGAUCAAGAGACAAAAUGGUGGAAGAGUCCAAUGGUGGGACUAACAAAGCCAAUGCGAUUUCAAAGGCCAAUCAUACUAGAGGUAAAAAUAACAACAACAAAAAGAAUUCCGGAAAUUAUAUGAGCCCCAAGAAAAAUCAAGAGCAAUUUAAGGGCAAGAAAGGUCCUUGUUUUGUAUGUGGAAAACCCGGGCAUUAUGCUAGGGAGUGUAGGUUCCGAAAGGACCAAAAAGGGGUUGUGGUGAAUGCAAUUGAUGAGGAGAUCAUUGCAACACUAAGCGAUGUGUGCGUUGUCCAAGGAAAGGUGCAAGGAUGGUGGUAUGAUACUUGUGCCACAGUUCAUGUUACCUAUGACAAAUCUCUUUUCAAGACCUUUGAAGAUGCAAAGGGAGAUCAAGAGGUUCAAAUGGGCAAUGAAGGAAAAUCCAAGGUGCUUGGCAAGGGCACUAUUGAAGUUGUUUUUACCUCCGGCAAAAAGGUUACCCUUAAAAAUGUAUUAUAUGUCCCCGAUAUGAAAAAAAAUUUGGUUAGUGGGGAUUUGCUUGGCAAACCGGGUAUCAAAGCGGUGUUUGAAUCCGGUAAGCUAAUUUUAACCAAAUCGGGGAACUUUGUGGGAAAGGGGUAUUCUUGUGAUGGGAUGAUCAAACUUAGUACCAAUGACAAUAUCAAUAAAAUGACGUCUACUUCCGCUUAUAUGUGUGAUUCAAAUUCUUUAAUUUUGUGGCAUAAUAGGCUUGCACAUGUUGGUUUAAGCACUAUUAAAAGGAUUGUGAAAUGUGGUUUGAUUGCUUGUGAUACCAAGAAAUUUGAAAAGUGUGAAAUAUGUAUUAAAUCAAAGAUGAUUAAAAAGCCUUUUCAUAGUGUUGAGAGAUCAUCUAAUUUGCUUGAUUUAAUACAUAGUGAUCUUUGUGAACUUAAUGGCAUGUUAACAAGAGGUAGAAAUAGGUAUUUUCUUACAUUCAUAGAUGAUUGUUCUAGAUUUACCUAUGUGUUUUUGUUGAAAAACAAAAGUGAAACUUUCAAUGCCUUUAAAGUUUACAAAGCCGAAGUUGAAAAUCAACUAGGAAAAAAUAUUAAGGUGCUUAGAAGUGAUAGAGGUGGUGAAUAUUUCUCUAGUGAAUUCAAUUCUUUUUGUGAAGAAUAUGGCAUAAUACAUGAGUGCACCGCACCCUAUACACCUCAACACAAUGGCAUAGCGGAGAGAAAGAAUAGAACAUUUUUGGAAAUGGUGAAUGCUAUGUUAUUGCAUGCUAAAUUGAAUUUCAAUUUGUGAGGUGAAGCUUUGUUGACUGCUUGCUAUAUUUUGAAUAGAAUUCCUAUGAAGAAAAAUGAGAUAUCUUCAUAUGAGUUAUGGAAAGGAAGGAAGCCUAAUAUAGGUUACUUCAAAGUGUGGGGGUGUCUUGCUUAUUGCAAGAAAACGGAUCCAAAUAAAACAAAAUUGGGUCCAAGAGCCAUUAAGUGUGCAUUUGUAGGCUAUGCCUCAAAUAGCAAAGCUUAUAGGCUAUUAGACUUGGAGUCUAAUGUGAUAAUUGAAUCAAGAGAGGUAGAGUUCUUUGAGAAUUUGUUGAGUGAUAGCAAUUCUCAAGUACCUACUAGUGUUGGAGAGUCUCAAGAGGAGACACCUUCAAAGGUUGUUGAGCAACCCAUUGUGCCUCGGAAAAGCCAAAGAGCUAGAAAAGAGAAAGUGUUGGGAUCGGAUGAGAUUGACUCUCAAAGAAUUUCCUUUUACUUAGUAGAAGGAAAUAGAGAAUAUAUUACAAGAAAAAUUCCUAUAGUACUUCAAAUAGAGGAAGAUCACAAAACAUACAAAGAAGCUAUGGCUUCUAGAGAUGUUGCUUUUUGGAAAGAGGCUAUCAAUGAUGAAAUGGAUUCAAUUAUGUCCAACCAAACAUGGGAAUUGGUAGACCUUCCACCAGGAUCUAAACCAAUAGGGUGCAAGUGGGUAUUUCGAAGGAAAUAUCACACCGAUGGCAUGAUUCAAACCUUUAAGGCUAGAUUAGUAGCUAAGGGGUUUAAACAAAGAGAAGGUAUUGAUUAUUUUGAUACCUAUGCGCCGGUGGCUAGAACAACAUCGAUUAGGAUAUUGUUUGCUUUGGCAUCAAUUCAUAAUCUAUUCGUUCAUCAAAUGGAUGUCAAAACGGCAUUCUUGAAUGGGGAUCUCAAUGAGGAGGUCUACAUGGAACAACCGGAAGGUUUUGUUCUACUGGGGAAUGAAAACAAAGUGUGUAAGCUUGUCAAAUCAUUAUAUGGUUUAAAACAAGCUCCCAAACAAUGGCACGAAAAAUUUGAUCAUGCUAUUCUUUCGGAUGGAUUUAGACACAACAAUGUGGACAAGUGCUUAUAUUCUAAGACUUGUGAUGACUAUAUGGUCAUAGUGUGUCUAUAUGUGGAUGACAUGUUAAUCUUGAGUGAGGACAUGAAAGGAAUAAUAGAAACGAAAAGGUUUCCAUCCUCAACCUUCAAGAUGAAAGAUCUUGGAGAAGUUGAUACUAUAUUGGGUAUCAAAGUGAAAAGAAAUAGUGGGGGUUAUGCUUUGAACCAAACCCACUAUAUUGANNNNNNNNNNNNNNNNNNNNNNNNNNNNNNNNNNNNNNNNNNNNNNNNNNNNNNNNNNNNNNNNNNNNNNNNNNNNNNNNNNNNNNNNNNNNNNNNNNNNAAUGGAUUCAAUUAUGUCCAACCAAACAUGGGAAUUGGUAGACCUUCCACCAGGAUCUAAACCAAUAGGGUGCAAGUGGGUAUUUCGAAGGAAAUAUCACACCGAUGGCAUGAUUCAAACCUUUAAGGCUAGAUUAGUAGCUAAGGGGUUUAAACAAAGAGAAGGUAUUGAUUAUUUUGAUACCUAUGCGCCGGUGGCUAGAACAACAUCGAUUAGGAUAUUGUUUGCUUUGGCAUCAAUUCAUAAUCUAUUCGUUCAUCAAAUGGAUGUCAAAACGGCAUUCUUGAAUGGGGAUCUCAAUGAGGAGGUCUACAUGGAACAACCGGAAGGUUUUGUUCUACUGGGGAAUGAAAACAAAGUGUGUAAGCUUGUCAAAUCAUUAUAUGGUUUAAAACAAGCUCCCAAACAAUGGCACGAAAAAUUUGAUCAUGCUAUUCUUUCGGAUGGAUUUAGACACAACAAUGUGGAUAAGUGCUUAUAUUCUAAGACUUGUGAUGACUAUAUGGUCAUAAUAUGUCUAUAUGUGGAUGACAUGUUAAUCUUGAGUGAUGACAUGAGAGGAAUAAUAGAAACGAAAAGGUUUCUAUCCUCAACCUUCAAGAUGAAAGAUCUUGGAGAAGUUGAUACUAUAUUGGGUAUCAAAGUGAAAAGAAAUAGUGGGGGUUAUGCUUUGAACCAAACCCACUAUAUUGAGAAAGUAGUUAGCAAAUUUAGUCAUCUCAAGAUUAAAGAUGCUAAUACUCCAUUUGAUUCAAGUAUAAAACUUGAAAAGAAUGAUGGUAGAUCAGUGGCUCAACUUGAGUAUGCAAGUGCAAUUGGAAGUCUUAUGUAUGCUGCUCAGUGUACUAGGGCUGACAUUUCAUUUUCAGUUAGUAAACUAAGUAGGUUUACUAGCAAUCCAAGCGUGGAACAUUGGAAAGCUAUUGGUAGAGUUCUUGGUUACCUAAAGAAUACCAAAGAACUAAGCCUCCAAUAUUCAAAGUUUCCUGCUAUAAUUGAAGGUUAUUCAGAUGCAAGCUGGAUAUCGAGUGUGGGAGAUAAUUUAUCUACCACAGGUUGGGUGUUUACACUUGGUGGUGGGGCUGUCUCUUGGGGAUCCAAGAAACAGACUUGUAUAUCACACUCAACCAUGGAGGCAGAGUUUAUAGCUCUAGCUGCAACUGGAAAAGAAGCUGAGUGGCUUAGGGAUCUCAUGAUGGACAUCCCUUUUACUGCAAAUAAUGUGUCAACAGUGUCGAUACAUUGUGACAGUCAAGCCACUCUAGCUCGUGCGUACAGUGGAGUGUACAAUGGGAAGUCUAGACAUAUAAGCAUUAGACAUGAGUAUGUAAGACAAUUGAUUCAAAAUGGAAUCAUCUCAAUCUCAUUUGUGAGGUCAAGUGGAAACUUGGCGGAUCCUUUUACUAAACCUCUUACAAGAGAUUUAGUAAGGAUAACAUCUAGAGGGAUGGGACUAAAACUCCUUAAAUAAAACUCACCAAUGAUGGUAACCCAACUUAAUACUACGAAAUGACUAGUCUUAAGUUCAAUGGGUAAAAACAAGUCAUUGACAAGUGGGUUGUGGCAACAUUAGAACAUGUGAGUUCCAUCUGUGAUGAUUAAUGCUGGUUGUUACCGUUGGAGGGUUAAGCUUAAAGCUUUUAAUGAAAUUCAGUCUAUGUGUGACAAGCAUCUUAAAGGUAACAAGGAUGCUGGAAGAAUUUCACCUAUGUGAACUUAGGGGUGGUGCCGCCUCUCAUGAGAGUUGGAGUUUCUUUCAAGAAAGUUCAUGAAUGGAUUGAGCACAUGGCCAUAAAAGUGCUAAGCAAGAAAAUAAUGGGCACUCGUGUGGUUAGUGGAAGUGUGUGUGUUGUUACCGGUUUCGUUACAAGGAAUAACUGGUUCAAUGCUACAAGCAACCUGGGAUUUCAACGGAGCUUUGUGACAAUUACACUAAGGUAAAAUUCAAAUCGAAAGAUAUUUUAUUUUAUGCAUUUUCACUAUUAAGGUUAUAAGGGUUUAUGUUUAUUUUUAACCAAGUGGGGGAUUGUUAUAUUUAUAUAAAUAUAUAUAUAUAUAUAUAUAUAUUGUUGGUUAAAAAAUAAAGUGUAAGAAGAGUUACACUUUUGAAAAUAACUUUUGGAAAAUUAAGUGUAAGAGAGUUACACAUUUGAGAUUAAAUCAUGUUUAAUGUGUGAAUUAAACAUAUGAUUUAAUUUUGAAUGUUACAAAGAUGAAGAGGUUGAGGAAGACAAUGAGUCUUCUCAUCUUUGUAACUUUAUAAACUUAAGAGGUUAAGUGUAAGAGAGUUACACAUUUGAGAUUAAAUCAUGUUUAAUGUGUGAAUUAAACAUAUGAUUUAAUUUUGAAUGUUACAAAGAUGAAGAGAUUGAGGAAGACAAUGAGUUUUUUCUCAUCCUUGUAACCUUUUUUCAACCCUAAGAGUGUUAUAUAUAUAACUUUUAUUCUUUUUGAAAUCUCAUGCAGAAAAGUGAAAAGGCUUGAUCAAUCCCAAGACUAUUUCCAUUUAGUUCCCAAAAGAUUUCUAGAGGUGGGAGGAAAUAGAGUCUUUGGACAAAGUUCCAAGAACUUGUUUGAGCAUUUCUUGUGUUAUUCUUCUUCUUGUUCUUAUUUUGUAUCUAAGAGAGUUUUAUUGUAUCAAAGUGAGUGUGUGAGAGUAUUUCCUUUCUCCAUUGUAUCCAAAUUUUUUCAACAAAGAGUGGGCUCCAUUACUGAAGCUGACCAGCGCAGGAAAAGGGGAAUGGUUCUUCCUUUCGAACCUCUGUCUAUCUCUUUUGAUGAAAUCAGAUAUGCAGUGGACAUGCCACAGGUACCUUUUCUGAGUUUUAAUCAAGAAACUAUGUUUUUGGUCUAGACUGUAGGGGAUUUUUCAUACUAAAGAACCAACUAAUCGUCACGUUUUCUGGAUUAUUUGAUGAUUGAUACUAUGCAGGAAAUGAAAGCACAAGGCGUCACUGAGGACAGAUUGGAACUUCUGAAAGGCGUGAGCGGUUCAUUCAGGCCAGGAAUCCUUACAGCCCUAAUGGGUGUUACCGGUGCUGGAAAAACCACUCUGAUGGAUGUAUUGGCUGGAAGAAAAACCAGUGGAUAUAUUGAAGGAAUUAUCAAAGUGUCCGGGUACCCAAAGAAACAGUAAACUUUUGCUCGUGUGUUGGGAUAUUGUGAGCAAACUGAUAUCCACUCUCCUCACGUUACAGUCUAUGAGUCCUUGAUUUAUUCUGCAUGGCUUCGGUUACCUUCUGAAGUCGAUUCGGCAACCAGGAAGGUUCACAUUCUAAUUGAUAAAGGGCCUAGGGAACUAAGACAAAAUAUUCAGAAUACAAAAGAUGAAGUUCAAUUUAAGCAUAUCAGAUGAUACUGACUUGUAUUCCAACUAAUU